CGACGUAAAGAACCUGCCUCACAGCUAGGGACAACAUUUAGAAAUGAAUGCUAAUACCUGAUAUUAUGAUUUUAAGGCAUCUUAGAAUUAUGAAAGCUAUAAGCACUGUGAGAGAGCUUUGCGUCCCAUUAGCUAGUUGGAGAGGUAACAGCUCACCAAGGCGAUGAUGGGUAGCCGGCCUGAGAGGGUGAACGGCCACAAGGGGACUGAGACACGGCCCUU
rnacentral:rRNA from 1 species